AGGGAGGAAAGAACCAACCGGGAUUGCCUCAGUAACGGCGAGUGAAGCGGCAAGAGCUCAAAUUUGAAAGCUGGCCCCUCCGGGGUCCGCGUUGUAAUUUGCAGAGGAUGCUUUGGGUGCGGCCCCCGUCUAAGUGCCCUGGAACGGGCCGUCAGAGAGGGUGAGAAUCCCGUCUUGGGCGGGGUGUCCGUGCCCGUGUAAAGCUCCUUCGACGAGUCGAGUUGUUUGGGAAUGCAGCUCUAAAUGGGUGGUAAAUUUCAUCUAAAGCUAAAUACUGGCCGGAGACCGAUAGCGCACAAGUAGAGUGAUCGAAAGAUGAAAAGCACUUUGAAAAGAGAGUUAAACAGCACGUGAAAUUGUUGAAAGGGAAGCGCUUGCGACCAGACUCGCCCUCGGGGUUCAGCCGGCACUCGUGCCGGUGUACUUCCCCGGGGGCGGGCCAGCGUCAGCUUGGGCGGCCGGUCAAAGGCCUCCGGAAUGUAGUGCCCCCCGGGGCACCUUAUAGCCGGAGGUGCAAUGCGGCCAGCCUGGGCUGAGGAACGCGCUUCGGCACGGACGCUGGCAUAAUGGUCGCAAACGACCCGUCUUGAAACACGGACCAAGGAGUCUAACAUCUACGCGAGUGUUCGGGUGUCAAACCCGUACGCGCAGUGAAAGCAAACGGGAGGUGGGAGCCCCCUCGCGGGGGCGCACCAUCGACCCGAUCCUGAUGUCUUCGGGAUGGAUUUGAGUAAGGAGCGUAAAUGGUGGGGGGACCCGAAAGGAUGGGUGACUAUGCCUGGAUAAGGGCGGAAGCCAGAGGAAACUUCUGGAUGGGAGGCUCGCAGUCGGUUUCUGGACGUGCCAAAUCCGAUUCGGUCUAAUUUGGGUAUACGAGGCGCGAAAGAAUC
rnacentral:rRNA from 1 species